UUUAUCUAUUGACCUGAUGCCACUUCAUAUUCCUUAAGAAUCCUAAGAAUAGUCUGACAUUCCUCUCUUUUAGUUUUAUAGAAGAAAAGACUAUCAUCUGCAAAGAGUAAAUGGGAUAUCGGGGGACAAGCCCUAGCAACUUUUAUACCGUCAGAUGUUUCUCCCUCUCCGCCUUUUUAAUAUUCGCUACCAACGCUUCCGUAC
rnacentral:lncRNA from 1 species